rnacentral:lncRNA from 1 species
UUUUGAUGAUGUUAGUUCUGCCUAUCCAUGAACAGGGUAUAUUUUUCCAUCUUCUAAGAUCUUCUUCUACUUCUCUCUUUAGGGUUCUGUAGUUUUCAUUGUAUAAAUCUUUCACCUCUUUUGUUAGGUUGAUUCCCAAGUAUUUUAUUUUUUUUGAGGAUAUUGUGAAUGGAGUGUUUUUCCUCAUUUCCGUUUCAGAAGUUUUGUCGCUGAUAUACAGAAAUGCCUUUGAUUUAUGCGUGUUGAUUUUAUAUCCUGCCACUUUGCUGAAUUCAUUUAUUAGUUCUAGUAGUUUUUUUGUAGACCCUUUUGGGUCUUCUAGGUAUAGAAUCAUGUCAUCUGCAAAUAGUGAUAAUUUAAGUUCUUCUUUUCCUAUUUUUAUGCCUUUAAUUUCUUUCGUCUGUCUAAUUGCUCUGGCCAGUGUUUCGAGAACUAUAUUGAAUAGAAGUGGUGAGAGAGGGCAUCGCUGUCUUGUUCCAGAUUUUAGAGGGCAUGCCUUCAAUUUUUCUCCAUUCAGAAUGAUGCUAGCCUGAGGCUUAGCAUAGAUAGCUUUUACAAUGUUGAGGUAAGUUCCUGUUAUCCCUAGUUUUUCUAUUGUUUUGAACAUAAAGGGAUGCUGUACUUUGUCGAAUGCUUUUUCUGAGUCUAUGGAGAUGAUCAUAUGGUUCUUAACUUUAAAUCUAUUGAUGUGAUGAAUAACAUUUAUUGAUUUCCGUAUAUUGAACCAUCCUUGCAUCCCAGGGAUGAAUCCUACUUGAUCAUAGUGCACAAUUUUUUUGAUGUGUUUUUGUAUCCGAUUCGCCAGAAUUUUAUUGAGGAUUUUUGCAUCUAGGUUCAUUAGAAAUAUUGGUCUAUAGUUUUCUUUCUUUGAGGUGUCUUUGUCUGGUUUCGGAAUCAGGGUGAUGUUGGCCUCAUAGAAUGAAUUUGGAAGAGCUCCCUCUUUUUCUAUUUCCUGAAAUAACUUGAAAAGUAUUGGUAUUAAUUCUUCUUUAAAGGUUUUGUAUAACUCCGCUGUAUACCCAUCUGGUCCUGGGCUUUUCUUGGUUGGUAGUCUUUUGAUUGCUUCUUCUAUUUAAUCCAUUGAUAUUGG